GACGAACGCUGGCGGCGUGCUUAACACAUGCAAGUCGAACGGAAAGGCCCUGCUUUUGUGGGGUGCUCGAGUGGCGAACGGGUGAGUAACACGUUAGUAACCUGCCCUUGACUUUGGGAUAACUUCAGGAAACUGGGGCUAAUACCGGAUAGGAGCUCCUGCUGCAUGGUGUGGGUUGGAAAGUUUCGGCGGUUGGGGAUGGACUCGCGGCUUAUCAGCUUGUUGGUGGGGUAGUGGCUUACCAAGGCUUUGACGGGUAGCCGGCCUGAGAGGGUGACCGGGCAAAUUGGGACUGAGAUACGGCCCAGACUCCUACGGGAGGCAGCAGUGGGGAAUAUUGCACAAUGGGAGGAAGCCUGAUGCAGCAACGCCGCGUGCGGGAUGACGGUCUUAGGGUUGUAAACCGCUUUCGCCUGUGACGAAGCGUGAGUGACGGUAAUGGGUAAAGAAGCACCGGCUAACUACGUG
rnacentral:rRNA from 1 species